AAAAUAAUUCUUUCUAUCCAGUAGUGCACGAUCAACGAUACAAAGCAGAUAUCAUUAUAGCCACGUCGAGCGAAGAUUAUAAUUAUAAAAAGACAAUGGAGAUUGCUGAAGAAGAAAGUUGUUCAUCAUAUCCACCUUGUGUUCCUACCAAUAAAACAUCAAGGUAUUAUGAAUGGAUGUGGCAUUACUUUACAAUAUAUAACGGCGAAUUUACCAAAUGCAAUAUUUGUUUUGCUGUACUCAACCAUCAUAUAGAAAAAAGUUUAAUUUCACAUAUGAUAAAAAAACAUUUAGCAAUUUAUAAAAACUCAGAAACAAAAUGGACAUAUUCUAAAAUAGAUCACAAAUUCAAAUGCAAUUAUUGUGAUAAUACUUAUGAACCAGUAUAUAGAUAUGAUAAUAUGAUAUACCACAUAAACAACAUUCAUAAACUUAAUAAAGAAAUAACAAAUAAACUAAAAACCUGGGUGACUGACCAAUUAAUUAUUUCGGAUUGCGAAACUUGCAAACAAUUUAGUAAAUACCAUACCUUUAUAUUUAUGAUACAUUUAUGCGAAGUUCAUCAUGUCAUUGUACCUCAAGAAUUCAUACCACAGGGAUUAUCAAUUAGAUUAGAAAAUCUUUUUUAUCCUUGUAAAAAUGUUGAAAACAUUCCAACAUCAACCAGCAAUAAUCAUCGGCAGCCAUCUAUACUUAGAACUUACUUUAAGGAUUAUGAUCUGACUUUUUAUUCUUCCGAUUCAUAUGAAAAAGAGUGUCAUUCAAUGCCUUCAACUAAUGAAACAUCAAGGUCUCUUAAAUGGAUAUGGCAUUACUUUACAAUAUAUAACGGCGAAUUUACCAAAUGCGAUAUUUGUUUUGGUGUAUUCAAAAACGAUAUAAAACAACGUUUAAUGACACAUAUGAGAACAAAACAUUUUGCAAUUUAUAAUAACUCAGAAACAAAAUGGACACAUUCUAAAAUAGAUCACAGAUUCAAAUGCAAUUAUUGUUCUAGUACUUAUAAACCAGUAUAUGAAUUUGGUAACAUGAAAUCACACAUAAACAAAAGACAUAAACUUAAUAAAGAAAUAACAAAUAAACUAAAAACCUGGGUGACUGACCAAUUAAUUAUUUCGGAUUGCGAAACUUGCAAACAAUUUAGUAAAUACCAUACCUUUAUAUUUAUGAUACAUUUAUACGAAGUUCAUCAUGUCGAUGUACCUCAAGAAUUCAUACCACAGGGAUUAUCAUUUAGAUUAAACAAUCUUUUUGAUCCAUGUAAAAAUGUUGAAAACAUUCCAACAUCAACCAGCAAUAAUCAUCAGCAGCCAUCUAUACUUAGAACUUACUUUAAGAAUUAUGAUCCGAUUUUUAAUUCUUCCGAUACAUUUGAAUCACCAAAUAUUUUAGACAAUCUUUUAAGUUCUGGUGACAAUACUGCCACAUCAAGCACCUUUCAUCAGUCAAUUGUCAGUACUGACCUUACUGAUUCUGAGGAAUUUGAUAUAGAUUUAUAUCUUAUAAAAGAAGCAGAGAAGCAUGGACUAUAAAGGAGAAGAAAGUUAUUGAAUUGUUUCGCCUAAUAAGUAAUUAUUGGCAAUGCUUUCUCAAUAUAACGUAAAAUUAUGAUCGAAAUACUUCAGACAAUCUUUUAAUUUCUUGUAAAGCUACUGCAACAUCAAGCAGCAUAGCUAUUAUCAUUCAACCUGUAGUACCGAUCUUGCUGAUUCGGAGGAUUUUGAUGUCGAUUUGUGUGAUAAUUAUUGACAAAUGGAAAAGUUUUUUGAGUGUGAUGGAGAAGAAAGUUAUUCAAUUAUCCCGUUUGAUAAAUGUUAAUUAUUUAUACUCUUUUCUCGAUGUAAUAUAAAGCGAAAUAACAUGAAAUUAUAAUUAUAUGAACUAUUUUGCGAA